rnacentral:lncRNA from 1 species
NNNNNNNCCACAGGGCCUCACUCAGCCGCUGACCGCUGCCUUGAGCCUUACCCGUGGCGGGCGCUUUCAGGACUCUUCUGGCGACCCCUGCCUCAAGCCCUCCACCCUCUCGUCAUGCAGAGUUUACCCGCCCCAUACUGACCCCGUUCUGACCCUCCCGUCAACCGACCCGUCCCCAUCAGGUCUCUCCCGAUGACUCACUCUUACCACUGAGCACAUCCCUCACCUCAAGAUUUCUUCUUCCCUCCCGGAGACACCUCCUCUUUCUCCGAUGGAUCCUGCCCUAUCACCCAGGAUUCCUCAACCUCAAGACUCCCCCUUCUCUCUUCAACCAGAGCCUUCCUUCCUCACAAAACCCCUCUCUUACACGAGCCCCUAAUUCCCUUCCAGAGCCUUCCCCGAGAACCCACCGAAUGCUUACUUCUGUCACUUGGUUAAGCUGGAGUGGGCCAGUGUAGAAACAGCAUCAGAGCAAGGACUGAAUCUGAAUGCUCACCACUGGCUCACCAGCAUUUGCCGCAUUUAGAGGCUUUCAGCAAAUACGGUGUUACCCUACAGAUCACUAACUGAUUAGAAAGUGGAGGUCACUGCUGUAACCACAAGUCAAAUUUAACAUCAUCAAUAAAGGACCAACGGACCCUGUAAAGUGAUGCACCAAGAAGGGACAAGACAUCUGCCCAAAAUGCUUAACUUGAAUCUCAUUAUGAGGACACAAUCAGACAAAUCCAAACAGGGAAACAUUCUGCAAAACAGCAAAGUCUGGGUUUCUUCGAAACUGUCAGUGUCACAAGAGAAAACAACACAGAAGAAAACAAAACUCCGGAAUAGUGUUCUUGAUUAAAGGAGCCUGAGAGAGAGAACUCUGUAAUUCUGCAUCCCAUCCUGAAUGAGAAAGAUUUUAUUUAUUUAUUUGAGAGACAGAGAGAGAGAGUGAGAGAGCAUGAGAGGGAAGGUCAGAGAGAGAAGCAGAUUCCCCCAUGAUGCUGGGAGCCUGAUGUGGGACUUGAUCCCAGGACUCCGGGAUCAUAACCUGAGCCGAAGGCAGUCACUUAACCAACUGAGCCACCCAGACGCCCCAGACCAGCCUGGGGCUCCUGAAAUGAGUCUGGACAUCAGCAGGACACAGAUGGUAGGCUCAACCGGGUCACUGAGGAAAGUAUAAUCAAGGGUCUUUUAUAAGUGUGAAGGCAGGAUCCAGGAAAACCUACAAGAGCUGGUAGUACCCUGGGGCCUCCAGGUUUUAGGAGCCAUCAUCCUCAUAGCCCAGAGAGGUAAGGAGAGGGAAUGAUUACAGGGUCUAAGAGGAAUGGUGUUGUGUGGAGAAGGUUCCUUGGCAGGAGCUGGGACCUUUAGUGAAAACACACAGCCAGCUCA